rnacentral:rRNA from 1 species
CCCGCUGAACUUAAGCAUAUCAUUAAGCGGAGGAAAAGAAAACAACUGUGAUUCCCUUAGUAGCGGCGAGCGAAGAGGGAAAAGCCCAAGCCGAAUCGGAUCACAUCCGAAUUGUGGAGUAUGAAGUUCUUUGUAUUUCCGUAUGUUGGAAAAGUCUUCCUGGAAUGGAGCGCCCUAGAGGGUGAUAGCCCCGUUUUCCGACCUCUACGCGAAACAACACCUUUGAACUUUCGGAGUAGUACUGCUUGGGAAUGCAGUGCGAAUGGCAGGUAUACCUCUGCCAAGGCUAAAUAUGAUGGGAAGACCGAUAGCGCACAAGUAGCGUGAGCGAAAGAUGAAAAGCACUUUGGAGAGAGAGUGAAAGAGUACCUGAAGCCGUAAUGAGGUAAGGGAUGGACCACUAUCCAAGAACGGUUGAAGAAACGUCCUUUGGGGCUAACUUCUCUUCUGUUCCUGUCUGCCGCUGUUUUAAGGUCUAGCUUGCUGGUUUGGAGCUUGCUCUAUUCGUGGCUUGUACUUGUACUAAGGGACAGUUUUCCUUCGUGAUUGGUGAAACGCUGGGGUUUCCUACGCGGGAACGAGGAUUCCGGAUAGCCGCUUCGGUGGUGAUUCCUGUUUUCUUGAACCUUCGGAAGUGCUCCCGUCUUCUCUUUCAUAGGCAGGCUUUGAGAUGGCCUUUGGCCACGAUGGGGUUCAUCCGCCCGUCUUGAAACACGG